rnacentral:rRNA from 1 species
UACAGAGGUCUCAAGCGUUGUUCGGAUUCAUUGGGCGUAAAGGGUGCGUAGGCGGCGCGGAAAGUUGGGUGUGAAAUCCUCGGCUCAACCGAGGAACUGCGCCCAAAACUACCGUGCUCGAGGAAGAUAGAGGUGAGCGGAACUCACGGUGGAGCGGUGAAAUGCGUUGAUAUCGUGAGGAACACCCGUGGCGAAAGCGGCUCACUGGGUCUUUUCUGACGCUGAUGCACGAAAGCUAGGGGAGCAAACGGG